GACGUAGGGAGCAAGCGUUGUCCGGAUUUACUGGGCGUAAAGAGCGCGUAGGCGGUCUGUUAAGUGUGAAGUGAAAUCUCCAGGGCUCAACCCGGAAACUGCUUCGCAUACUGGCAGACUUGAGGAAUGCAGAGGUAAGUGGAAUUCCGUGGUGUAGCGGUGAAAUGCGUAGAUAUCAGGAGGAACACCCAUGGCGAAGGCAGCUUACUGGGCAUUAUCUGACGCU
rnacentral:rRNA from 1 species